CAGCCGCCACGGUAAUACAGAGGGUGCGAGCGUUAAUCGGAUUUACUGGGCGUAAAGCGUGCGUAGGCGGCUAAUUGAGUCGGAUGUGAAAUCUCCGAGCUUAACUUGGGAAUUGCAUUCGAUACUGGUUAGCUAGAGUGUGGGAGAGGAUGGUAGAAUUCCAGGUGUAGCGGUGAAAUGCGUAGAGAUCUGGAGGAAUACCGAUGGCGAAGGCAGCCAUCUGGCCUAACACUGACGCUGAGGUACGAAAGCAUGGGGAGCAAACAGGAUUAGAUACCCCGGUAGUCCCUGUCUCUUAUAC
rnacentral:rRNA from 1 species